rnacentral:rRNA from 1 species
AUUGAACGCUGGCGGCAUGCCUUACACAUGCAAGUCGAACGGCAGCACGGGAGCAAUCCUGGUGGCGAGUGGCGAACGGGUGAGUAAAGUAUCGGAACGUGCCCAGUCGUGGGGGAUAACGUAGCGAAAGUUACGCUAAUACCGCAUACGAUCUAUGGAUGAAAGCGGGGGAUCGCAAGACCUCGCGCGAUUGGAGCGGCCGAUAUCAGAUUAGGUAGUUGGUGGGGUAAAGGCUAACCAAGCCGACGAUCAGUAGCUGGUCUGAGAGGACGGCCAGCCACACUGGGGCUGAGACACGGACCAGAAUCCUACGGGAGGCAGCAGUGGGGAAUUUUGGACAAUGGGCGAAAGCCUGAUCCAGCCAUGCCGCGUGCAGGAUGAAGGCCUUCGGGUUGUAAACUGCUUUUGUACGGAACGAAAAGGUUUGGCCUAAUAAGCUGAGCUCAUGACGGUACCGUAAGAAUAAGCACCGGCUAACUACGUGCCAGCCGCCGCAGUAA